CCUACGGGAGGCAGCAGUGAGGAAUAUUGGUCAAUGGACGAGAGUCUGAACCAGCCAAGUAGCGUGAAGGAUGACUGCCCUAUGGGUUGUAAACUUCUUUUAUAUGGGAAUAACAUGUUCCACGUGUGGGAUUUUGUAUGUACCAUAUGACUAAGGAUCGGCUAACUCCGUGCCAGCAGCCGCGGUAAUACGGAGGAUCCGAGCGUUAUCCGGAUUUAUUGGGUUUAAAGGGAGCGUAGGGGGAUUGUUAAGUCAGUUGUGAAAGUUUGCGGCUCAACCGUAAAAUUGCAGUUGAAACUGGCAGUCUUGAGUACAGUAGAGGUGGGCGGAAUUCGUGGUGUAGCGGUGAAAUGCUUAGAUAUCACGAAGAACUCCGAUUGCGAAGGCAGUUCACUGGACUGCAACUGACACUGAGGCUCGAAAGUGUGGGUAUCAAACAGGAUUAGAUACCCCAGUAGUC
rnacentral:rRNA from 1 species